rnacentral:rRNA from 1 species
AACGCGAAGAACCUUACCUGGGCUCGAAAUGUGCAUGAAUCCGGCAGAAACGUCGGCGUCUCGCAAGAGACAUGUAUAUAGGUGCUGCAUGGCUGUCGUCAGCUCGUGUCGUGAGAUGUUGGGUUAAGUCCCGCAACGAGCGCAACCCUUAUCUUCAGUUGCUACCAUUUAGUUGAGCACUCUGACGAAACCGCCUCGGAUAACGGGGAGGAAGGUGGGGAUGACGUCAAGUCCUCAUGGCCUUUAUGUCCAGGGCUACACACGUGCUACAAUGGCCGGUACAAACCGCUGCAAACCCGCGAGGGGGAGCUAAUCGGAAAAAGCCGGCCUCAGUUCGGAUUGGAGUCUGCAACUCGACUCCAUGAAGCUGGAAUCGCUAGUAAUCGUGGAUCAGCAUGCCACGGUGAAUACGUUCCCGGGCCUUGUA